UCAUCAAUCUUUUCUGUCUGUCUUUUAAACAAAGUUUGUACAUGUUUUAUUCAAGGGCGCAGAAUGGAAUAAAAUGCAACUCAUCUGCUACAUUCAGAUUGACUCUGCUCAGUAAGACAGUGUUGGGGUGUAAUGGACACUAUGCUUCUUGUCUGGACUCUCUCCUUUCUGCUUCUGAGCUAUUCUAUUGGGGUACCCAUCCUCAAUAUGACAAGCAGUGGAUCUGAUAAGGAGUCGUCUCUGAAUGCCACAGAAAUUGACCAGAUAGGAAAUGCCACCAAUUACAACUCUACAGACCCCUGUGAGUAAUAAAUAAAAAAUGACAUUGUUUAUAACUUCACUCCACUGUUCUUUUAACAUGCAGUCUUUCCUCUGCAAGUGUUCACAUUAAGUCACAUUAAGGACAGGCAGAUAACAAUGAAAAAAAAAGGUUAGCAUAGGAUCAACAGCAUCAUUUUUAUCUAAAUCAUACAAAUUCUUCAGCAUCUUUAAGGAAUUUCAUGAAACUCAAAAGACUCUUCAGACCCCAGCUUUCACUUAUCCCAAAUAUCGUGUCUUUUCACAGAAAUAGAACGAGUGGUCGUCAGAGAGUAUCCCAAAGGUUUUGUUUAUUGUCCACCUGUGCCUUGUCGAAACUGGGGUAUUCCCUUCAGAGAGGAGAUGAGACUGCAGGGAACAUGAGCGAUCCAAUGGGAAUCGGCAAGAAAUGAAGGAACGUGUAACAUAAGAUCAGCAUGUUCCUGAAUUAAAAACAGUUUUGACAGUAUAAUAACAGAGGAAGCACUUUGAAUUACAGUGAUGUGUUCUGGGAUUUGGGAUUUGCUGUAGUACUAUUGUUUAAAAACAGUGAUGUUGUUAUUCCAUGGUCAAGAUAUGCUCAAAUUCUGUUUUUAUUAAUAUUGUAAGAUCCCACAAUUCAGUUUUGUUCUUUGUUAAUUUUCUUGUGUAUUCUCUGAAAGUAUAAAGGCCACAGUUUUAAGACCUAUAGUAUGUGUCAUUGUUAAGAGGACAUUCUAUUAGUAUUAAUAUGAUUAUUGCUUGUAUUACAAAUUACCACAAAACAUGUUAAUAUGCAAAUUAGACAUAGACUGAGAAUGCAGUGCUGAUAAUGUUUAGACACAAAUUGUAUAAUAAAUCUAGGAAGUAUAGCACAUAACAUGAGAAGUGUUGGUUCAUUUUUGUUCAGUAGGAGUUGUGAUUUCUGUGCCAAAGAGCUGAACGUAUUUUAAACACUUAUUUAGACAAAUCUCUUGAUGUCCACUAUAGUGUACAUAUAAAUACACUUUAUUUAAAGACAUAUUUUCCUUCUUAUUUAUCAAAAUACCAUAAGAACUGAAAUAAAGUCAAUUUGAAUCAAUGGUCUGUCGCAGUGUUGAAAAGU